AACAUACUCCCUCCGUCCCAAAAAUCUUGUCUUAGAUUUGUUUAGAUGUGAAUGUAUCUAGUCAAGUUUUGGUACUUAGAUACAUCCAUUUUUACAUAAAGCUAAGAUAAGAAUUUUAGGAUGGAGGGAGUAGUAU
rnacentral:pre_miRNA from 1 species